UACGUAGGGUGCAAGCGUUUGUCCGGAAUUAUUGGGCGUAAAGAGCUCGUAGGCGGUCUGUCGCGUCGGGCUGUGAAAUCUCGGGGCUCAACCCCGAGCCUGCAGUCGAUACGGGCAGACUAGAGUGCUGUAGGGGAGACUGGAAUUCCUGGUGUAGCGGUGAAAUGCGCAGAUAUCAGGAGGAACACCGGUGGCGAAGGCGGGUCUCUGGGCCGAAUACUGACGUGGAGGCGCGAAAGCGUGGGGAGCAAACAGG
rnacentral:rRNA from 1 species